rnacentral:lncRNA from 1 species
UUUUCUUUUCAUUUUUGUCCCUAGGUCCUGCCACAAGUUUGCAUGUUAUUUUUUCUUUAUCACUCAUCUUUGGAUAAUCUUGCUUUCCGUUCUUUUCCCAAUCAAAAGGUUAGUAUCAUGUCUUACCAUUUCUGUUGUAGCUUUCAGAUUUUUUUUUUUUUACUGAAAUUUCAAAAAUUGCAUUACCUUUGCUCAUAAUUACUAAGAUAUUGCGUAUAAAGUAAAUUAAUGUGUUUUUGUAGAUAUGAAGUAUUAAAAUUUAAAAAUUGGUGGUGGAAAUUGGUUUGUUCUACUUUAUUGCAUCUUAAGUAUUAGAAAUUAGAAGUUUAACCCUCCUUUUGUUCAAACUUUAAAAUAAUCGCACUAAUUUAGAGAUUUAUUCAUGACCGCUACCUUAAAGCUUUUCCUGCAUAUUUCAUGCUUCUGUUCUUCUCCAUUUUUUGUGUUAUGAAUUUAUUAGUUUGUUUUUCACCUAUUUUUUGAUCUCUUCAUUUUUUUUUCAGUAAAUGUAAUUUAGGUGAUUUCUUAUAUUUUAUUUCAUUCUAUUUACAGGAUUCUCAAUCAUUUUCUUAUUUCAACCAUCAAUUGCAGAUAAGGUUAUCUUAUUUUCGAGUAUCUGAAUCUGUUAAGAAGGUUUUAUGUGUUUUAUUGUAUAUCACAUUUACAUAGAUUCUAAAAAAGGUAGAUUUUUACAGGAAUUUUAUUUUAUUUUCGUAUUUCAAUAUUGCCGGUUAAUAAUAUCUAUUUGCUAAAA